UGGGAUAACUUCAGGAAACUGGGGCUAAUACCGGAUAGGAGCUCCUGCUGCAUGGUGGGGGUUGGAAAGUUUCGGCGGUUGGGGAUGGACUCGCGGCUUAUCAGCUUGUUGGUGGGGUAGUGGCUUACCAAGGCUUUGACGGGUAGCCGGCCUGAGAGGGUGACCGGCCACAUUGGGACUGAGAUACGGCCCAG
rnacentral:rRNA from 1 species